ACAGAGCCCAACGUGGGGCUCGAACUCAUGAAUCGAGAGAUCAUAAACUGAGCCAAAGUCAGACACUUAACUGACUGAGCCACCCAGGUGCUCCAGAACAUGGUAGUUCUUCUGGGAAACUGAGUUGGGAUGGUUGGGCUGCCAGCUUUCAUGCUUCAAAGCUACUUAGCCCAUAGUUCAAUUAAAUGAAGGUACUUAGGGGACCAGACCUUCCUGAGCACCCUUUUCAGUUCACUCUUCCAGAGACCUGAGCUACCAUGGGUUCUUGGCUCUGAGGAGCCUGAACUCAUGGAUCGAGACAGAAAAAGCACAAUAUUCUUGAACAGCAUGGAGUUUUUCAUUGAAUAUGUUCCUGCUCAUUACUCUGUCCCUAGUUACUUGUCUUAAAUCUUGGCAUCACAUCACAAAUUAUUCUUUCAGUAUUUGGAAACUUGAGUUUUAUGGGUAAUCGGUAUCUCCACGUGGUUAGAAAGCCUAUCAUUCCAUGAAACCUCCACAAAGGCAAGGGAAUAAAUAGGUAUAAAUUAUCCAGUCUUUCAUUUAACAGAAAAAGUUAAAGUGAAUGCUCUACCUCUUGAAAUUCAGACUAUAGCGAAGAAGCUAUUUUUUCAAUUUGAGAGUAUAAAGUUAUCUGUGGAGAAUUGAAUGUUUUUUCCACAGAUGAUGUAUUAGUGUGGGGGAGGGGGAAGGCUGGGAAUGGGGAGUGUUCCCAAAUGCCAGUAAAAAGGUAAAACCAAUUUGCCUCAAGUGUUGCUGACACUGCCUUUGGUUUGAAGGAAGCUAGAGCAUAGCUCUUCACUCAGUUGAGCUGAUGAGACAGAGCUUAACAUCUCCACUGUUGGAAUUAAGACAUUGGUGUCUGUCCCCCAGGUAGUAUUUAUUUUCUUCUGUUAGAAACAACAUAUGUGUGUCCACUGUACUCUACAUACCUGGAUUUUCAAGCUUCCUAAUUUACUCAUUCUGGAGUUCCUGAAAUAAGAAAGUAAGUCGUGCUUGAACAUUACUGCCCAGAGCAACACUGGCCUUUCACUUAAUGUGACCGCUGAUGCUAGGCCAACAUGGUAAGGAGCUUGUCUUUGUCCUAAAGGUAGUUUGUACAUUUUCAGGUGGAAAGGGAAGAUACUAUGCCAGAUGGUCUCACAACCAUCCUGAAAACUCCUACCCCUGGUCUGCAUUAGCAAGUUGAGGGUUAGAGAAUUAUCUGAUGCCACAUAGCUAAGAAUUAAUAAGGCUCAAUUUCUAACUCAAACCUUUGCCCUUUGUAUUUGAUAACACAAAGCGUUGUCUAAUGUAAUUACUUCUGAAACCUCAAAAUUCUUGAAAUUAGCCUUUAAGUUGUUAAUAGAAUGUCUCCUCUUCCUGUUAUUAAAUGUUUUGAGCUUUGGCCACUAGGUGGUGCCUCGAGGAAAAUAAAACAUCUUUUUAAGUAUCUGGGAGAAAUUGAGUCACUUGGGCUGACUGUAGGAGAGUGAGGAGUUGAACACUUGUCUCUUGUUAAACAUUAACAUCAUUUGCAGUUAUAAAUUCACAUUUAAGCACAGGAGACCUGUGUAUGUAUCUGGGACUGAGGGGAAAUGCCCAAGAUCUGCCAUGGUAUGGAGCAGAUUGUGACGACAG